rnacentral:rRNA from 1 species
GAUGAACGCUGGCGGUGUGCCUAAUACAUGCAAGUCGAGCGAACAGACGAGGAGCUUGCUCCUCUGACGUUAGCGGCGGACGGGUGAGUAACACGUGGAUAACCUACCUAUAAGACUGGGAUAACUUCGGGAAACCGGAGCUAAUACCGGAUAAUAUAUUGAACCGCAUGGUUCAAUAGUGAAAGACGGUUUUGCUGUCACUUAUAGAUGGAUCCGCGCCGCAUUAGCUAGUUGGUAAGGUAACGGCUUACCAAGGCGACGAUGCGUAGCCGACCUGAGAGGGUGAUCGGCCACACUGGAACUGAGACACGGUCCAGACUCCUACGGGAGGCAGCAGUAGGGAAUCUUCCGCAAUGGGCGAAAGCCUGACGGAGCAACGCCGCGUGAGUGAUGAAGGUCUUCGGAUCGUAAAACUCUGUUAUUAGGGAAGAACAAAUGUGUAAGUAACUAUGCACGUCUUGACGGUACCUAAUCAGAAAGCCACGGCUAACUACGU